rnacentral:sRNA from 1 species
GAAUAUAUCGCGAGCCGGGGAACCAUCAGUGUUCCUGGGGUGAAUUUCCCACAAGGAUUGCAGCGGGACCGAAAUGGUCACCAAAGUGACGGAGUGGGGAUAGGGGCCUUCCGCUCCGAAUCCGACAGCUAACCCGGUAAGCCAACAGGAA